AUGGACAUAGAUAUAAGAAACACACUCAUUGAUCUCUAUGAUUUCUCCAACAAACUAUGGCAGAAAGUGGUAGAUCCUGAAGAGCUAGAUUCUAUGCAAGAGGAUAUUGCAAGAAUAUUUUCCACCCUAGAGAUGUUUUUUGCACCAUCAUUCUUUGAUGUCAUGGUCCAUCUCAUUGGGCGCCUUGUCGACGAGAUAAAGUACUGUGGUCCUGUGUUUCUCCCCAACAUGUAUCCCUUCGAGCGGUUCAUGGGAAUAUUGAAGCGCUAUUGUCGGAACCGAUGCCAUCCCGAUGCAAGCAUCCUACAAGAUUAUACCGCGGAGGAGGUGGUUGAGUUUUGCACUGAAUACAUGAAACAAAUACCUAUAGGUUUGCCCCUAUCUCACCACGAGGGAAGGCUGGGUGACAUUUGGGAGCUUAACUAUGUGAAAGUUAAGGUGUCAUUAUUCAGGUGCAAAUGGAUCCCCCAUAGUCAGGUAAAGGUUGAUGAUUACCGGAAGACCUAUGUUAACAUGUCAAAGAUGGCAUAUCACAAGGACCUGUUUAUUCUUGCAAAAGAUGCUACCCAGAUUUUCUAUGUGAAAGACCCCUUGCAUAAGAACUCCCGUAUAGUGAUGCAUGGGACGAGGGCAGAGCACCCGGAGGGACGCGAGAGCAGAGCGCGCACGGCGGGACGCGAGCAGAGCACGACGCGGCCGCCUGAACCACAAGCAACCACACGCAUAGAGCAGUUGAACACGCAGGAAAUGGUCGCCUACAAGCCGGCCGACAGUUGUGUCGCUGCGUAG
rnacentral:rRNA from 1 species